rnacentral:rRNA from 1 species
AUUGAACGCUGGCGGCAGGCCUAACACAUGCAAGUCGAACGAGUGGCGGACGGGUGAGUAAUGACUGGGAAACUGGCAGAUGGAGGGGGAUAACGAAUGGAAACGGUAGCUAAUACCGCAUACCAUCGGAUGAGCCCAGAUGGGAUUAGCUAGUGGGGGGGGUACCGGCGCACCUAGGCCACGAUCCCUAGCUGGUCAGAGAGGAGGACCAGCCACACGGGAACUGAGCCACGGUCCAGACUCCGACGGGAGGCAGCAGUGGGGAAUAUUGCACAAUGGGCGCAAGCCUGAUGCAGCCAUGCCGCGUGUAUGAAGAAGGCCUUCGGGUUGUAAAGUACUUUCAGCGAGGAGGCGUUACUCGCAGAAGAAGCACCGGCUAACUCCGUGCCAGCAGCCGCGGUAAUUC